rnacentral:rRNA from 1 species
UACGUAGGGUGCGAGCGUUAAUCGGAAUUACUGGGCGUAAAGCGUGCGCAGGCGGUUUUGUAAGCCAGAUGUGAAAUCCCCGGGCUUAACCUGGGAAUGGCAUUUGGGACUGCAAGGCUUGAGUUUGGCAGAGGAGACUGGAAUUCCUGGUGUAGCAGUGAAAUGCGUAGAUAUGUGGAGGAACACCAAUGGCGAAGGCAGCCUUCUGGGCCAACACUGACGCUCAUGCACGAAAGCGUGGGGAGCAAACAGG